rnacentral:lncRNA from 1 species
AGUUAUCAUUAUCUGCAGUUGCAGAGUCAUCAUAGGCUUGAGUGGUGGGGUUGUUGCGUUCUUCUAGUUGUCUAAUCCUGACGGCAAUUGUUUGAUGUGUGAGUGGUUAGGGUCUCACACCUGAAUGCUGCUGGAAAGCAUUCAAAUCCCUUGAGAGGAUACAGUGGACUACAGAGAUGAAAACCAUGAUUAUAAGGAGAAUAAUAGCCAAUAAUUGAAAAUUCUCUGGAGCAGACAUUGAGCUCAGGAGUUCAAGACCAGCCUGGCCAACAUGGUGAAACCCCAUCUCUACUAAAAAUACAAAAAGCCAAGAAUUAACCCAUUAAAUAAAUCAGUAGAUCAGGGCACCACUGAGUUCAGUACUUCAAAAUUGCCGUGCUCUACCUCUCCCCAGUGCACAAAAACACUCUCCACACCAAGCUGCUGCUGCUGGGGGAUGGAGGGAUGGCGUCAGCGAUUCAAGACUGUUUUUCCUACCUGUUCAGCACUUCUUUCAGCGAUAUGAAGUUAAAUCCAGGCCAAGUUCCCACCUGGUGGGAAGCACUGUGCAGGU